rnacentral:lncRNA from 1 species
GGGGAGGGUAAGGAAGAAGAGAACUGGCCUGUCAUUUUUAGGUAGUAAGCAAGUUAUGUGCUUUCCUGGUUGAUUCUAAAACAGAGCAUUAUUUAUAAAACUUGGGGUCAGAGGCUGAGGAAAUGAAAUAACCGCUCUGAGAUGCACUGACUGCUGCUGGUUUAAAUGAUGUGAAGCUGUUCUGUAGGGAGAAGGCUUGCGGCGACGUCGGCUCCCAGCCAAGCCACGUGGUCUGAGGUUGCACAAGGGUUUGACACUGACCACAGCUUUCCGCCCCACUAGCUGUCAUGAACUUUUAGUGUAAGAGACGUGUUCAGUUUAUCAAACUCUUAUUGGUUAUGAAAUUUUUUGGCUU